GAUGGAAGUUGGCUCAGCUGGUAGAGCAUGAGACUCUUAAUCCCAGGGGUGUGGAUUCGAGAUUCAAGAUUCCUUCA